UGGGGAAUUUUGGACAAUGGGGGAAACCCUGAUCCAGCCAUCCCGCGUGUGCGAUGAAGGCCUUCGGGUUGUAAAGCACUUUUGGCAGGAAAGAAACGUCAUGGGUUAAUACCCCGUGAAACUGACGGUACCUGCAGAAUAAGCACCGGCUAACUACGUGCCAGCAGCCGCGGUAAUACGUAGGGUGCAAGCGUUAAUCGGAAUUACUGGGCGUAAAGCGUGCGCAGGCGGUUCGGAAGGAAAGAUGUGAAAUCCCAGAGCUCAACUUUGGAACUGCAUUUUUAACUACCGGGCUAGAGUGUGUCAGAGGGAGGUGGAAUUCCGCGUGUAGCAGUGAAAUGCGUAGAUAUGCGGAGGAACACCGAUGGCGAAGGCAGCCUCCUGGGAUAACACUGACGCUCAUGCACGAAAGCGUGGGGAGCAAACAGG
rnacentral:rRNA from 1 species